CUGGCCAAUAUACUGUACGGUAUACCCACUACAAUACAUUAGACUACACCACUGAUACCUACUACAGAGAAGGCUACAUGCAAUUUGACCAAAGGAAGUAGCAGAACAGUUUGCAAUGUUUAUGUAAAGUCUGUAUUAUGGAUCCUGUCCUAUCACAGAAUGUGAGUCAGCUGACUGAGUAGUAAAUGAGCACUGGUAGUAACUCUUGAGACUGUAGGCAUCUACCCAGCUAAUGCAGUGACUCUGAAUGAAAGCUGGAGCCAUUUUCUUCCUACAUGAAACACUGAUAGUGUCCGGUCUCUAAUUUCAUAAUGCCUAAUUGGUUCUGUGAUACUACCAUCACCUUGCUCUAAUGAAUGGCAAUUACUAUCUAAUAUGACAUUCCUUUCCUGUGCUUUUGAAUCCUGUUCCUGUAUGUUUUGCCUUCUAAAGUUUUGUUUGUGACAUUCAUCAAUCAGGGGGAGCUGAGUGAUGUACAGCAAGAGCCACCAGAACCUGAGGAAUCCCUUCACCUUUUUGAGGUUUUACCACCUUCAACUCCCCAGAAAUCCAAAACUGCCAUGUUCAAGGUUCUAUUGCCUUUGCAGCUGACAAGUUCUGCACAGAUACCAACAUGCACUAAGCCAUGUUUUGCCCUUGCACCCACACGGACACACCAAUCGGACAACUCAAGGUACUGCUCGAAGUGCCUGCACUUUGAGUACCAAUCCAUUCAGGCACGCACAAUGUUGGCCAUUAUGGACCAUCAUGAAUAUGAUGACUCACCACGUAAACAGGAAGCAACCGCUGCAGGCCUCCAAAGACACAACAUUGUGUACCAAAAAGAGUCAAAACAGUGGAUUGCAAGACCUAUUCACACAAAGACAACCCAAACUUUCAGAGAUGACCUUAUGGAGGAAUUUAUUAAAAGAAGACUGGACCCCUCCAUCAAAUAUAAAGACUCAUCAUCUCACAUCCAAGUCCCAUGUCUGGCAGCAAAAUAUUGGCCUCCUACCACACAUCCACACAUCCAGAUUAAAAACUUAGUUGUAGACCUUCAGUGCC